rnacentral:rRNA from 1 species
CAGGUCGACGAUUCCUUUCGCUAUUAGAUGAGUCUGCGUCGGAUUAGCUUGUUGGUGAGGUAAUGGCUCACCAAGGCGACGAUCCGUAGCUGGUCUGAGAGGAUGAUCAGCCACACUGGAACUGAGACACGGUCCAGACUCCUACGGGAGGCAGCAGUGGGGAAUAUUGCACAGUGGGCGAAAGCCUGAUGCAGCCAUGCCGCGUGUGUG